ACCCUGAUUUUCUUCCUCAUUCUUGCAGGGUGCAUCUGAGAAAGAUAUCGUCCAUUCUGGUCUGGCAUACACAAUGGAGCGCUCUGCCCGGCAAAUCAUGCGCACUGCCAUGAAGUACAACUUGGGGCUGGACCUGAGAACAGCUGCCUAUGUCAAUGCAAUUGAGAAGGUCUUCAAAGUGUACAAUGAGGCUGGGCUGACCUUCACAUAAACAGGCCCUUCCUGCUCCUUAUUGUAUCCCAUCCUUAUUGCCGUUCAUGUACCCUUUUCUUGAAAAAGCUUAUCACAAGUUUACAUGUAACCACAAAAAUUUCUUUUCUUCUGACAUUAUAGCGGAUUCUAUUCUCAAUUAGUUUCAGUCCAAACUAGUUUUUUUUAUAUAAUAA